GGCAGUGAUUAGCUGAAGCGGUCAUGUGCGCUAUUGCACUACAGCUUCCUAUAUAAAGGAUUAUUUUAAAGAAUGUUGAUGCAAAUCAGAAAACCCCCUUAAGAAAACUUUAUUACC